rnacentral:rRNA from 1 species
AGCAGCCGCGGUAAUUCCAGCUCCAAUAGCGUAUAUUAAAGUUGUUGCAGUUAAAAAGCUCGUAGUUGAAUUUCGGGAUUGACACAUCGGUCGUGCCUUAAGGGGUAUGAACUGGUGUAGUCAAUUUCUCACCUUCUGGAGAACCACGAUGCCCUUAAUUGGGUGUCGCGGGGAACCAGGACCUUUACUUUGAAAAAAUUAGAGUGUUUAAAGCAGGCAUUUUGCUUGAAUACAUUAGCAUGGAAUAAUAAAAUAGGACGGCAUGAUUCUAUUUUGUUGGUUUCUAGGAUCACCGUAAUGAUUAAUAGGGAUAGUUGGGGGCAUUAGUAUUCAAUUGUCAGAGGUGAAAUUCUUGGAUUUAUUGAAGACUAACUACUGCGAAAGCAUUUGCCAAGGAUGUUUUCAUUAAUC